UACGUAGGGUGCGAGCGUUAAUCGGAAUUACUGGGCGUAAAGCGUGCGCAGGCGGUCUGUUAAGACAGAUGUGAAAUCCCCGGGCUUAACCUGGGAACUGCAUUUGUGACUGGCAGGCUAGAGUAUGGCAGAGGGGGGUAGAAUUCCACGUGUAGCAGUGAAAUGCGUAGAGAUGUGGAGGAAUACCGAUGGCGAAGGCAGCCCCCUGGGCCAAUACUGACGCUCAUGCACGAAAGCGUGGGGAGCAAACAGU
rnacentral:rRNA from 1 species